UGGGCACUUUAAGUAAUGUAAAUAAGUAUAUAGACUACAGUUUUCACAGCCUGAAAUGUAGCUACUCUGUAAACUGGAACAUGAAGUAGGUAUUUUUCUUAGUACAGCCAUUGCUUAACAAGUCUUAAGACAUACACAGCACACACAGCCCAGCCUCUGAUUGUGGUUAGCUGGGGAGGCAAAAUAGAUUUGUGUGGAUGGUGCAACUACAUGUCGGCCACCCCCAUGUAUAGGCAUCACUAGUUGGUAAGCCAGGGUUUCGUGUUUCUCAAGAUUUAUUUGCUUCAAAUGAAAGAACAUGCUCUUAUUGCCUCCACCUUUCAGAGAUUAAACAGUGUCAUAUUCAAUCACAUGCUUUCCUGUAGCUUCACUGAUUAUGCCCAUCACUGGCGCACAGUCAAAGUCAAUCAGAUUUGCGUCAUUGGGCAGGUUUUCUCAGAUUGUUCCAUACAAAAGGGCGCCAGAAUCAAUGUGUACAUGGGUGUUUGUUUAGGUAGUCAAUAGGGAAUGGGAAAUGAAUCAGGUCAGUGUAGGCUACUGUCUGUUUGCACAGCAAGCAUAUUUAAUUGUCCUUGUAAUGACAGUAAAAUUAAAAAUACCUUUAUUUUCCUGUGUGUGGCAGUCCAUCACCCACUGGGGGAUUCCCAGUUACCACCGAUGAAACUGAAGCAUUAAGCUGAGAGGCUCUGAGACCAUCAUCCCUCUUCAUACUGUACUGAGACACCAGUGGGUGUUUUCAGAGUAACUGCUCCGUGUUGAAAUGGGUUUCAGGGCUGUACUUCCUCAGCCCUGUGUGGUUUGUGGUGGGCAUUUACUGGCAGCGUGACACUAUGGCGUCAUACGUUUACUCAGGUAGACCUACCUAUUGCUCGGACAUCGUUGUGCUGAUCUUAUAAAUAUAUAUUCCACGACAUGGGUGAUGUGGAGCUGUGACGUGUACCAGGAUGGCCGAGUGGUUAAGGCGUUGGACUUAAGAUCCAAUGGACGUAGUCCUCGUGGGUUCGAACCCCACUCCUGGUAAUCAAACAGAGUUUUAACCUAAUGACUUGUACGAUAAGAGUAGAAUACAUAAAUAGUAUGAGGAAUUCAUAUGUAAUUUACGUUUAUGUAGACAAAUUGACCCUUCCGCUGCCUGCCAAAAGCUUUGAUGUGGCAGGUGAUAUGUGAUUAUACAUUUUUGUGUUUUGUGUUUACAUGUAGCACAGUCACAGUAGCUGGGGACGAUUUUCAGGCUCGUUUUGUGGUUCUAAAAGUUGCGAAGAGAUCACGCACCUGCAGACAAUUAACAAAGUAAUGGACGUUCGGAAACACAAAUACUCCAACUCAGCUGACAAACCAGGUCCCUGACCCCCUGAUUCAUGAGGCCACCUCUGAGAUGUGGUGAAUGUUGGACAGGGUGAGCUGCGCCUCCCGCGCUGGGUAGAAACGUCUGGAGCGAAGCCACAGCCUCCCAAACACUCCAGUGAUCAGCAGCAAGACAAUCAGCAGCCCUCCGAGGACAAAGGUCUCCACAGGAGGGACUCCGCCUGCAUCUACGUAGAAAAGGACACAGGAUAUACCUGUCUCGGAUGAAGGUGUACUGAAUAUUGCUGUAUGGAUCACUGGUUGGUGUAGCCCAGCAUCUCUCCAUACGCAGCAUCAGUUGAGCCGGUAUCUGUGAUACAUACAUGGUUGGAGGGACAGUCAAGUCAUUCCGUACACAAGUAAAGUUAAGUAACUCCGUGCUUCUUACUUGGUUUGGCCAAUUCGGUGCACUCUGCCUAUGGCCUGGAGCUCGUGAGCCGGGUUGAGGAUCGGCUCCACCAGCAACACGUGA